rnacentral:rRNA from 1 species
UACAGGGGGUGCAAACGUUGCUCGGAAUCACUGGGCGUAAAGGGAGCGUAGGCGGGUUUCUAAGUCAGGUGUUUAAUCCCGGGGCCCAACCCCGGACAGGCACUUGAAACUGGGAAUCUUGAAUAGUGGAGAGGGAAGUGGAAUUUCAGGUGUAGCGGGUGAAAUGCGUAGAUAUCUGAAGGAACAUCAGUGGCGAAAAGCGACUUCCUGGACCAAUACUGACGCUCAUGUGCGAAAGCGUGGG